GGGAACUGAAGACUAAAUUUAAAAAAGUGGGAACACAGAGCCACAGGAUACCAGAGUUGAAAGAGAACUUGGACGACAAACCCCUGGAGAGAAAAUUACUUGCUCAAAGCCACACAGUCAUGUAGCACAUGGAUGUGUGUGACUGACAGGGAGCACAAACAUUGUUCUUAUCCAUUGCUAUCUCUCCUGUGGCUAGAAGCAUGCUGGCAUACUAAGGAGACUUAACAAAUACUUGCUAAAUGAGUAACCUGAAAUCUACGUCUAACUCUAGCCAACAACCAAGAGAGAAGGUUGUGCAAUAAAAAAAAAAAAAAAUGGAAACAUCUCCCCUUCCUGUCAAAACACAGCUGUAUUAAGGGUAUGCUGUUGGACAGAUGGACAAGUGAGAGAUUGAGCCAUCUUUUACAAAACUGAUUCCAAGAAUCCAUGCAUACUGUCAGAAACCCAGUGCCAAAUUCCACUUGUUGCGCAAGUAGAAAAAGAACCAACUGCGACUUACAAGUCUAGAGCUGUAUUAAAAAGAUACAAGAUUCAAUGAGUAACAUUCUAUAGGAAGAGCAUAUCAUUGUCAGCAACUAUUAUCAGCCCAUACAUGUUCUCUCAUUUGAUUCUCAUACCCACCUAUUGAGAUAAGUAAGCCUGAUAUUCCCAGUAUACAAAUGAAGAAAGAGGUUCAGAAAUCUAUUAUGUAACAUUUUAAAGUCAUACUCCAAAGUGGAACUAGCAUGUGGAUCCAGAACUUGAGACUGUGAAACACACCUCCAUAUAGGACUCUGCAUGUGUGUUUUACAUUAAGCAGGUCUACAUUCUUUGCCAGCAUUACCCACUCCUCGAAGAUUCUACCUCUGGCUCUCUGCUGCACAAGUGUGGAGAUGGACAGUUUGGAAUCUGGUGAGAAAAGUGCAGUUUUCUGUACCCUGCCCAUGCUCACUUCAAUUUCUCAAACAUGGACUGGUCCUUGGAGCUUAACCAAUACAAACUAAAAGUUCAUGCGGUGUUCCUGGCAAACAGCUUUAAAGUAGAACACAAAGGGGAACUUCGUGUUGCUGGUCCAUCUCUCUCCCAGCUCUUACCCUCACCCAGGCAGGCCUGGAGAAAUGACAAAAUAGACUGUGUCCUUGCCCGCUAGGGAACAAAACCACAGAAGGGAAAGUUGUUGAGGCUAUCCUUCCAGGGCCCUCAUGGCAUGGAAAGUCUAAAGAGAACACUGUUUCCUUAAGACCCGUGAAAUCAGCAGACCAGAUGAACUCAAGACCUUAAGGAUUUUAGGAAAUCAAUGAGUAGCAAAACUGUACAAACACUGUAGAACCCGGAAACAUGGAGAAUGUGGGAAUUCGGAAACUGUUUAAAAGAGCCAAGCAUUGGCUUUGUCAGGUAAACAGGAGAUGAUGUACACACUCCUAUAUUCAUUAAAUUUACCUUUUUUGAGUAGUACAGUUCAUCUGAUUGUAAGGUUUAAAAUUUAAAAAAUACUUUCAACAUAUUUUAAUUGGAAGCUCUAGGCUCUCAAAUAUUAAAGAGUCAUGCCUAAAUCAGUGUCUACCUAAUCAGUCAAGAAAAAUAAGUACCAGUGGCACAGGUUGGUAAGGACUUGGGGGCGGGGAGGGCUGUCCAGCAGAUGCUCCUUCAGUGUGUGCCUGAAACCUCGCCUUGUGGACAUGUCUCAUGUCACAGUAGGUUCCAGAAGGAUCUGUUUUUUGUUCAUUUAAAUUUUCUUUUUUUUUUUUUAUUUCUUUUUUCUGGGAGUCUAUAGAUUGAGCAAAAAUGAAAUCAAUGUCAGACAUAUUGUAUUUGAUUUGGUUCAAAUGUGGCUGAUGUCCAUUUGCAGCAGAGAAGAACUGAGGGGAGGAAGGUACACAGUGUUGCCGGCAAGGGGACACUGAACAAAAACAGUUUGCCAUUCAUUGUAAAAGUGGGCGGGCACCACACAGUCAGUGUGAGUCAGUUAACCAAGACAAGGGACUCAAGGCUCAAUGAGCAGGGAUAAAACCAAGGUAAGCGGGUUGGGGGGUGGGGGGAAUAAGUACAGAACUUUCAAGAGACAAGGCCAGAACAUUUAGAGAACUAGCUGCAGCAGAGGCUGGCUGGAGAACGGUGGUCAGUUCAGGUCUGCUGGAUCACUUGGGGAACAUGAUGACCACAUCGUACCCUCAAGUGGUGUGACUUGCUCCUGGGCAUGCUCUUCACAGUAGAUUUGAUGG